AUUCCGUGAUGAGGGCACUUCUGUAAUAAUUCUUUGUACCUUUCCCAUGCCUCAUACAAGGACUCAUCAUCCAUUUUUUGGACGGUAGUGAUCUCAUUUCUCAACUU
rnacentral:snoRNA from 1 species